rnacentral:rRNA from 1 species
GAUGAACGCUGGCGGCGUGCCUAAUACAUGCAAGUCGAGCGAACGGACGAGAAGCUUGCUUUUCUGAUGUUAGCGGCGGACGGGUGAGUAACACGUGGAUAACCUACCUAUAAGACUGGGAUAACUUCGGGAAACCGGAGCUAAUACCGGAUAAUAUUUUGAACCGCAUGGUUCAAUAGUGAAAGACGGUCUUGCUGUCACUUAUAGAUGGAUCGGCGCUGCAUUAGCUAGUUGGUAAGGUAACGGCUUACCAAGGCAACGAUGCAUAGCCGACCUGAGAGGGUGAUCGGCCACACUGGAACGGAGACACGGUCCAGACUCCUACGGGAGGCAGCAGUAGGGAAUCUUCCGCAAUGGGCGAAAGCCUGACGGAGCAACGCCGCGUGAGUGAUGAAGGUCUUCGGAUCGUAAAACUCUGUUAUUAGGGAAGAACAUAUGUGUAAGUAACUGUGCACAUCUUGACGGUACCUAAUCAGAAAGCCACGGCUAACUACGUG